rnacentral:rRNA from 1 species
GACGAACGCUGGCGGCGUGCCUAAUACAUGCAAGUAGGACGCAGUUGCGAACGGGUUAGUAACGCGUCUGUCACUACCUAUUAGAGGGGGAUAACUAUUGGAAACGAUAGCUCAUACCGCAUACUAGUAGAUGUACCUACGUUGUAUUUGCUAGUAGGUAGGGUAAUGGCCUACCUAGGCAACGAUACAUAGCCGACCUGGGAGGGUGAUCCGCCACAACGGGACUGAGACAAGGCCCAGACUCCUACGGGAGGCAGCAGUAGGGAAACAUCGGCAAUGGGGGGAAACCUGACCGAGCAACGCCGGGUGAGUGAAAAAGGUUUUCGGAUCGUAAAGCUCUGUUGUUAAGGAAGCGGUACUUAACCAGAAAGGGACGGCUAACUACGUGCCAGCAGCCGCGGUAAUUC